rnacentral:rRNA from 1 species
GUGGCGAACGGGUGAGUAACACGUGAGUAACCUGCCCUUGACUCUGGGAUAAGCCUGGGAAACUGGGUCUAAUACCGGAUACGACCAUCUGGCGCAUGUCAUGGUGGUGGAAAGCUUUUGUGGUUUUGGAUGGACUCGCGGCCUAUCAGCUUGUUGGUGGGGUAAUGGCCUACCAAGGCGACGACGGGUAGCCGGCCUGAGAGGGUGACCGGCCACACUGGGACUGAGACACGGCCCAGACUCCUACGGGAGGCAGCAGUGGGGAAUAUUGCACAAUGGGCGCAAGCCUGAUGCAGCGACGCCGCGUGAGGGAUGACGGCCUUCGGGUUGUAAACCUCUUUCAGUAGGGAAGAAGCGAAAGUGACGGUACCUGCAGAAGAAGCGCCGGCUAACUACGUGCCAGCAGCCGCGGUAAUACGUAGGGCGCAAGCGUUAUCCGGAAUUAUUGGGCGUAAAGAGCUCGUAGGCGGUUUGUCGCGUCUGCUGUGAAAGACCGGGGCUCAACUCCGGUUCUGCAGUGGGUACGGGCAGACUAGAGUGCAGUAGGGGAGACUGGAAUUCCUGGUGUAGCGGUGAAAUGCGCAGAUAUCAGGAGGAACACCGAUGGCGAAGGCAGGUCUCUGGGCUGUAACUGACGCUGAGGAGCGAAAGCAUGGGGAGCGAACAGGAUUAGAUACCCUGGUAGUCCAUGCCGUAAACGUUGGGCACUAGGUGUGGGGGACAUUCCACGUUUUCCGCGCCGUAGCUAACGCAUUAAGUGCCCCGCCUGGGGAGUACGGCCGCAAGGCUAAAACUCAAAGGAAUUGACGGGGGCCCGCACAAGCGGCGGAGCAUGCGGAUUAAUUCGAUGCAACGCGAAGAACCUUACCAAGGCUUGACAUGAACCGGAAAGACCUGGAAACAGGUGCCCCGCUUGCGGUCGGUUUACAGGUGGUGCAUGGUUGUCGUCAGCUCGUGUCGUGAGAUGUUGGGUUAAGUCCCGCAACGAGCGCAACCCUCGUUCUAUGUUGCCAGCGCGUUAUGGCGGGGACUCAUAGGAGACUGCCGGGGUCAACUCGGAGGAAGGUGGGGACGACGUCAAAUCAUCAUGCCCCUUAUGUCUUGGGCUUCACGCAUGCUACAAUGGCCGGUACAAAGGGUUGCGAUACUGUGAGGUGGAGCUAAUCCCAAAAAGCCGGUCUCAGUUCGGAUUGGGGUCUGCAACUCGACCCCAUGAAGUCGGAGUCGCUAGUAAUCGCAGAUCAGCAACGCUGCGGUGAAUACGUUCCCGGGCCUUGUACACACCGCCCGUCAAGUCACGAAAGUUGGUAACACCCGAAGCCGGUG